rnacentral:rRNA from 1 species
AGCGAACGCUGGCGGCAGGCUUAACACAUGCAAGUUGAGCGGGCAUCCUUGUGGUGUCCGCGGCAGACGGGUGAGUAACGCGUGGGAACGUGCCCUUCGGUUCGGAAUAACUCAGGGAAACUUGAGCUAAUACCGGAUACGUGCGAGAGCAGAAAGGUUUAUCUGCCGAAGGAUCGGCCCGCGUCUGAUUAGCUAGUUGGUGAGGUUAUGGCUCACCAAGGCGACGAUCAGUAGCUGGUCUGAGAGGAUGAUCAGCCACACUGGGACUGAGACACGGCCCAGACUCCUACGGGAGGCAGCAGUGGGGAAUAUUGGACAAUGGGGGCAACCCUGAUCCAGCCAUGCCGCGUGAGUGAUGACGGCCUUAGGGUUGUAAAGCUCUUUUCUCCGGGACGAUAAUGACGGUACCGGAGGAAUAAGCCCCGGCUAACUUCGUG